CGUGUGUGAAGAAGGCCUUAGGGUUGUAAAGCACUUUCAAUUGGGAGGGAAAACCUGUCGGUCAAUACCCGGCAGCUUGACAUUACCUUUAGAAGAAGCACCGGCUAACUCCGUGCCAGCAGCCGCGGUAAUACGGAGGGUGCAAGCGUUAAUCGGAAUUACUGGGCGUAAAGCGUGCGUAGGCGGUUCGUUAAGUCAGAUGUGAAAGCCCCGGGCUUAACCUGGGAACUGCAUUUGAAACUGGCGGACUUGAGUUGAGUAGAGGGGAGUGGAAUUUCAGGUGUAGCGGUGAAAUGCGUAGAUAUCUGAAGGAACACCAGUGGCGAAGGCGACUCCCUGGACUCAAACUGACGCUGAGGUACGAAAGCGUGGGUAGCAAACAGGAUUAGAUACCCUGGUAGUCCACGCUGUAAACGAUGUCAACUAGCCGUUGGUCCUAUUUACAGGAUUAGUGGCGCAGCUAACGCAUUAAGUUGACCGCCUGGGGAGUACGGCCGCAAGGUUAAAACUCAAAUGAAUUGACGGGGG
rnacentral:rRNA from 1 species